GAUGAACGCUGGCGGUAUGCCUAACACAUGCAAGUCGUACGAGGGUUUUUAACUCUAGUGGCGGACGGGUGAGUAACACGUGAGAAUUUGCCUUUAGGAGGGGGACAACAAUUGGAAACGAAUGCUAAUACCCCAUAUGCUUUCGAGUGAAAUGGAUUUUAUCCGCCUAGAGAGAAGCUCGCGGCUGAUUAGCUUGUUGGUAAGGUAAGAGCUUACCAAGGCGACGAUCAGUAUCUGGUUUGAGAGGACGAUCAGCCACACUGGAACUGAGACACGGUCCAGACUCCUACGGGAGGCAGCAGUGGGGAAUAUUGCACAAUGGGGGAAACCCUGAUCUAGCCAUGCCGCGUGAGCGAUGAAGGCCUUAGGGUUGUAAAGCUCUUUCAGUGGGGAAGAUAAUGACGGUACCCACAGAAGAAGCCCCGGCUAACUCCGUG
rnacentral:rRNA from 1 species